CCCCACCAUAUGGGCGUUUGAGAUAUGAGGUGUGACCCGGAAGGAUAGACAGAGCGGAUCCUGUGGACAUGGUCCGUUUCUGCACCGUAGGCGUCUGGCGAUAGGAAAAUCCGUUGCCAGGUUAAGCGGAGGGUGCGGAGGGUAGUGGAGACUUUGUCAAAGCGACUCUGUUGAGUCCAUGCCGGCUAGAAAAGCAUCGAUAUCGAGUGCAUAUGGUGCCCGUACCGCAAACCGACACAGGUGGGCGACGGUAAGUACCGUAAGGCGAACGAGAGAACCUUCGUUAAGGAACUCGGCAAAAUAGCUCCGUAACUUCGGGAGAAGGAGCGCCCUUGUGAGUGAAACACUUUACGUGUGGAGCAUUACGAGGGCCGCAGUGAGCAGGCCCAGGCGACUGUUUAACAAAAACACAGGUCUCUGCGAACCAGUAAUGGGAUGUAUAGGGGCUGACGCCUGCCCAGUGCCGGAAGGUUAAGGAGAUGGCUGAGAGGCCAGAACUGAAGCCCCGGUGAACGGCGGCCGUAACUAUAACGGUCCUAAGGUAGCGAAAUUCCUUGUCGGGUAAGUUCCGACCCGCACGAAUGGCGUAACGAUCUGGGCACUGUCUCAACGAAGGACUCGGCGAAAUUGAGAUGGCCGUGAAGACGCGGCCUACCCGCAGCAGGACAAAUAGACCCCGUGGAGCUUUACUGCAGUUUUGCGCUGGCGUAUGUGAUUAGUUAUAUAGUAUAUGGGGGAGGCUUUGAACCAUGACCGUCAGGUUGUGGGGAGCCGCCAGUGGAAUACCCCAUUUCUAAUUUUGUACUCCUCACCAGUGAGCAAGCACUGGGACAGCGCAUGAUGGGCAGUUUGACUGGGGCGGUCGCCUCCGAAAGAGUAACGGAGGCGCGCAAUGGUUCCCUCAAGGUGGAUGGUAAUCACCUGUCGAGUGCAUUGGCAUAAGGGAGCUUGACUGCAAGACAGACAAGUCGAGCAGGGGCGAAAGCCGGCCAAAGUGAUCCUAUGGUCCCGAGUGGAAGGGCCAUGGCUUAACGGAUAGAAGCUACCCCGGGGAUAACAGGCUGAUCCUUCCCAAGAGUUCACAUCGACGGAAGGGUUUGGCACCUCGAUGUCGGCUCGUCGCAUCCUGGGGCUGAAGAAG
rnacentral:rRNA from 1 species